rnacentral:tRNA from 1 species
GCAGCUUCGGGUCGUCGGCCAGCGCCUGAUAGUUUUGCGCGCCAACGAAGUCGAACGUGUCCGCCAGCACGUUCCACUCGUGCAGGCUGUACCA